CUAGGAGAGGAAGGACGUCAGCAUCAGUGGUGGAAGGAGUCAGAGGAAGGAAGAGAGCGAAAACGCAGUAAAAGCCAUGGCACUGCAUAUGCAGAAGUCAUAAUGGAACCCAGUCUUUUAUAUGCUAACUUAGAAAAUUAUUUUUUUAAAAAAGCAGAGACUACUUGUGCAUAUCCUUGAAACUAACAUAUUACACAUGGAAUUGUACACCACAUACUCUACUUAUCUAUUUUGUUCCCAUUCUAAUUGUGAGAUUAAUCCAUGUGGUCAUUUGCAUUCUCCUAGGCAUAAUAUGUGGCUGUUCUGAAGAUGACUGUUUUGUAACUUUGCCUGGGUAGAUGUGAACAAAGCAGGGUGACAACAGACUGUAAAUAUUCCAAGUCCAGGUUGAUAAACCAAGGAAUUUAUUGGGCUUACUUCUGAAACAACUGCAUCGAAGAAAAGUCCCACUGUAGCACGGGUGACAAUCUCCCCAAAGGCUAAGAAUCCAAUAUUAAGAUAUGAAUGUCAGUGGCAAGGGGCUUCGGCAUGCGGAGCCGGAGGGGGUGGGGACGUGGAGAGAUGGUUCGCGCUGGCCGCUGGGGCAGAUGAGACCCUGUUGCGCCGGGGAUGUGGGCCAGAUGGAGGAGAACUUGCCCGAACGCCACAGGAGUGUGACGGGGCUGAACGAGCUGGUUUGGCCAAGCUGCACUCGCUGCUCACCUGCUGGCUCCGAGUCAGCUUUGGGCCGUGGAACUGGAUCUGGCCGCACUGCCUUCGCUCCGCCUCCACCGCGGUCCUAGCGCCGCUCGGCAGGCAGCGUCUGGCUCCGCAAGCCCCUGGCGGUACGCAGAAACCUGAGUCAUCAUCCUCACAGUCACGCGGACCCAGGCCAGCUGCCACCCACCCUCGACCGCGCUGGCGCGUGGGCCGCUGAUCCGUGAACAAGCUGCCAGUGCACAUGGAUCUGGUGAUCACCAAGAUUAGGUGCAGCAGCCCAGCUUCUCAGACAUCGAGAGCCUCGUGGUGUGGAUAUCUGUGGGAGAUCUCCUACAUUAGCUUGUACGACCAUCAAGCUCCCGCAGCACCGGCACGUUCCUCUGCAUGCCGUGGGGCAGCGACUCCACACACUCCAGGUAGUCCUGCACGUAGCAAGUGAGCAGCCGGCUCCGCUCUCCGGUCAGUACUGCUGCCGCUGCUGCUGCCCUAACAUCCUGCCGCCGCUGCCGCCGCUCCUCGCCGCCGCUCGCCGCCGCCGCGCUCGCCGCCGCCUCGCCGCCGCUCCUCGCCGCCGCUCCUCGCCGCCGCUCGCCGCCGCUCUCCUCGCCGCCGCUCGCCUCGCUCGCCGCCGCUCGCCGCCGCCGCUCCUCGCCGCUGCUCGCCUCUCCUCGCCCCGCCGCCGCCGCCGCUCCUCGCCGCUGCUCGCCGCCUCUCCUCGCCGCCGCCGCGCCGCCGCUCCUCGCCGCUGCUCCGCCGCCGCUCCUCGCCACCGCCGCCGCUCCUCGCCACCGCCGCCGCUGCUCUGCCGCUGCUCCUUGCCGCUGCUUCCGCAUCCAGCAGCCACACAGGCAACAGCCACGGUCGCCGCUCCUCCGCUCGGCAGCCUGGCGCCGCGGGGACACGGUUGCCGCUCGAGACAGCACCGCAGACGCCCGCGAUCUCCACUUCCCCAAGAAGAAGCCCUCUUUCGCCGCCCCCGCGUUAACAAGCCCAAGGGUGAGGCGAGACCCGGGCUCCGUCCGCCCCCUGGGAGAGAGCAGCCGGGAGAGAGCAGCCGGGUUGCCCUGGCUUCCCAGCGCGGUGACACUGGCUGUCUCUCCCAGCUCCCCCCCCCCGCCCCCCCAAAAAACAACCAGGGCUGCCUGUUCGCCCAGAUCCCCGUGACAAGUCCCUCGCUGCCCUCAAUCCUCAAGUAA
rnacentral:lncRNA from 1 species